AUACGGAGGAUGCGAGCGUUAUCCGGAUUUAUUGGGUUUAAAGGGUGCGCAGGCGGGCGAUUAAGUCAGCGGUGAAAGGCUCGGGCUCAACCGGAGCAGUGCCGUUGAUACUGGUUGUCUUGAAUGCGGUCAAGGCCGGCGGAAUGUGGCGUGGAGCGGUGAAAUGCAUAGAUAUGCCACAGAACACCGAUAGCGAAGGCAGCUGGCCGGGCCUGCAUUGACGCUGAGGCACGAAAGCGUGGGGAUCGAACAGGAUUAGAUACCCUGGUAGUCCACGCAGUAAACGAUGAUUACUAGCUGUUUGCGAUACACAGUAAGCGGCACAGCGAAAGCGUUAAGUAAUCCACCUGGGGAGUACGCCGGCAACGGUGAAACUUAAAGGAAUUGACGGG
rnacentral:rRNA from 1 species